rnacentral:rRNA from 1 species
GACGAACGCUGGCGGCGUGCUUAACACAUGCAAGUCGAACGGAAAGGCCCUGCUUUUGUGGGGUUCUCGAGUGGCGAACGGGUGAGUAACACGUGAGUAACCUGCCCUUGACUUUGGGAUAACUUCAGGAAACUGGGGCUAAUACCGGAUAGGAGCUCCUGCUGCAUGGGGGGGGUUGGAAAGUUUCGGCUGUUGGGGCUGGACUCGCGGCUUAUCAGCUUGUUGGUGGGGUAGUGGCUUACCCAGGGUUUGACGGGUAGCCGGCCUGAGAGGGUGACCGGCCACAUUGGGCCUACGAUACGGACCAGACUCCUACGGGAGGCAGCAGUGGGGAAUAUUGCACAAUGGGCGGAAGCGUGAUGCAGCAACGCUGCGUGCGGGAUGACGGCCUUCGGGUUGUAAACCGCUUUCGCCUGAGACGAAGCGUGAGUGACGGUAAUGGGUAAAGAAGCACCGGCUAACUACGUG